rnacentral:lncRNA from 1 species
ACUGUGUUCCAACGAAACUUUAUUACCAAAAAUAGGCCACAGACUCCAUUUGAGCCAUAGGUUAUAGUUUGCAAACCUGCUUUAGAGUGAGGCAACCACCUCUCAGUCAUAUUUCAGUUAUCUAAACCUUAAGAGUACAUGUAAGAUUAAAAAGAAGGUUAUUGUGACUUUGUUUGGCGGCCAAACCUGGUCAACCUUAACUUUUAAAAGACUGGAGCGUAGUUCCCUUAGGUCAGUACGUAAAAUCCAUCUCAUGCUAAACAUAACCAAGGUGAUCCGGCAUCUUCAGAGAAGAUCCAGAACUUGUCUGUCGUUCAACACUCAGAAAACAAGAUACAGUAGGAAGCAUUUCAGUAUGAUUGCAAAGACAAAGAAAGAGAAUGUCUUUCCGCUUCUGGUCAACAGUGGGAGCAAUAGUCAACAAUUGCAGGUGACUAUGGGUGACUAUGGCUUCAGCAGAGUCAGCAGAUCUGGGAAUAGCAGGGGGAGGAGUGGCAGAUGACCAUAGGCUAUAGUGGCAUUGACAGCAACCUCAAUAGCAAAUGUAUAUUUCUGGACUCUGGAUAGUGCUUUUUUUUCCCCUUUAGUUCACUCAACGAAAAUCUUUGCAACCAAUUCCAUGUAUUAAAAUAUCACCUCUAUGUGAAAUAUUCAGAAUAUUUCUGUUUUCCUGACUAGACCAUAACUGAUAGACUCACUAAUAUUACAAUUCUUGCUUUUUCUUUGUGAUGAUGUGAUAUAUCUUUAAACUAUAGUAUAAGUACAAAGGAAAAAUUAAAGGUAAGAGAUGAUUACCAACUUUUAUUUGAUGAUUUCUACUAAAAAUAACCCUGAGGUAAAUUAUUACUAUACCCAUUUUAUGGGUGAUACUACAGAUUUGAAUAUAUUUAUUUGACCAAAAUCUCACAGUACAAACUGACUUCCAAAUCAGGUUUUACUUUUUUUAUCUGAGGAAAUUACAUUGCUAUGUUUUAUUCCAUUUUGCAUCACUAUGAAGAAAUAUCUGAGACUGGGUAAUUUAUAAAGCAGAGGCUUGUUUUGGCUCAUGGUUCUGCAACUGAACAAGAAGUAUGGUGCCAGCAUCUGAUUCUGGCAAAGCCUCAGGAAGCUUUUAGUUGUCAUGGGAGGGAAAAGGAGCAAAUGUAUCACAUGGUGAGAGAGGAAGCAAGAGAGAGGCGGUAGUUUCCAGACUGUUUUUAACAACUGUUAUCUUUUGUGAGCUCAUCAUCAUGGGGAGAACACCAAAGCCAUUCAUGAGGGAUCCCCCUUCCAUGACCUAAACACCUUCCAUUAGGCCUCACCUCCAACAAUUGGCCAUCAAAUUUCAACCUGAGAUUUGGAGGGGACAAACAUCCAAACCACAUUACAAUGUCUCAUACAAAUCCUAAGAAGAGGAGAUGGCAUGUGAAUAGCUUGAAAAUUCCUUCAUACUUAAAUUUUUUUUUUGUAAAAAGAGAAGCCUUCUAAUCACCUUGUAAUCUUAGACUUUCGAAAUGUGGUUGGUCUUUGAUUAACAUAGCCCAGAACAUGAACUUCAGCAGAGCUCUCAAAGACAGACAAUUCAGAUGGUAAAUAUGUGAGUUGUUCUAGUACAUUUUAGUCAUUAAUGUUUUUUAAUAGCAUGGUUUCUAUUUUUAUUAUCUGCAUAGUGGAUUGAAAAAAAUCAAACCUUUUCUUAAAAGAUGUUGCUGUUUCCAUUAAAGGACUAAGGGAAAGGAGAAGGGGAGAAUCCUCUUGUACCUAUCACAGUAGCACUACUGUAUGCAACUGAAAUUAGCAAAGUUCCACUUGCUUGUAGGUUUCAGGCAGUAAAGACAAGCCAGUGACCUUGCUUAUGCCAAGUUAGAAAGAUCUUUUCUAACUGAAUAUUCUUUCACCAAGAACUGAAGAAGGAGAUCAGCUUAGGGAAGAUUUACUCCUUGGAACAAUUUUUAGAAAAGUAAAUUCCAGGAAAUUACCAAGCAUAUCCUCUAGUUUCCAGCAUUUAAUGUGACAGAUUUAUCAAUUGCCACCUUGCCUUUUAACUGUAAUGCACAGCCAACAGUGUUUUUAAGUAAAGAUAUCUUACACACAUUUAAAAGAAUAAUGCAUUUUAGAUAUUGCUAUACCUGUACAUGUAUUUGUUUCCCUCCACAGACAGCCAUAUGACCCAGGUGGAAGAGAAAUCAUGAUCUGCUCAGGAAUGCAAGGAUUUUCUUGUGCAUGCCACCUGGUCAUUUCUCUGCUCUUUGACAACCUUCCUUCACAGGACUGGGAAAGCCCAAGUUAAGAUAAGGAAAUAUUAAACACACAAGCACUGCUGUACCCUGAGAAGUACACCAGGUCCCUGGAGUCAUUGCUCCUGGUGCUGAUUAUGAAGAAUCUGGAUCUCCUGCUUCCAAACAAGUACUUCUAGAGAUUGUACUCCACCGGCUACCACUUUAUUUAAGUUUUAAUAUGGUGGAAUAUGUAUUAUUAUUUUACUUACAAGGAAAGGGAAAAUACUCUUUUCUGAGACAAAUAAUAAAGCCCUGAUAAUAUGUUUGCAUUAUAUGUAUCCAAGCAAUAGUCACUAACCACUUGAGAAGAGUAACUUAUUUACGAAAGCCUGCGUUCAAAUAGUUACCAGUACCAAAUUCAUCCUAGCACAUACCCAGACGGUUUUAAUUUGAACAAAAAUAAAUUAGCAAGAAAUUAAGUUUCAAAUUAAAUGACUUAAAAUUCAGUGGCUUUUUACUUAUGAAGUUUCAUUACCCUUUGCAGAAUCAUAGGAUCACCAGUGCUAGAAAUGGGAGAAAUUCUAACAGUAAGUUUUAUGAAGUUGAUAGUAUUAGCAAAAACAAUUUGAAAAAAAGGAGGAAAAGCAAAGACUCUAUUUAGUAAUGGGGCAUUUGCCAGGGUUGUUUUUCUAUCCUUUUAAAUCGAAGUAGAGACAUUGAUGUUCAAUAUACAUCUUGAUCAACACACUUAUCUGACUUUGAUUUUCUUUGUCAUCAAUGUAGUAGUUUAAAUAUCAGCCUUAAUUUGCUAGGUAAAACUCUUGUUUAAACAUAAUGUGCUUAGUUAAUAACCCAUACUUUACAAGACCUUUUCUCAGGUAUGAUUAGCCAGACCUAUGUAAAAUUUGUUUCAUAAAUAGUGGAACAUCCGCAAGAUCCCAUAUUACAAGCAGAAUGGUAGAGCUGGACAGUUUGUGUGCAUUCACUUAUUAUAAUACCUUCACUUUGCAACUAUAAUAACCAAGGCCCAGCAGGAUUAGUUGGCAAUUCAGUACUGCCCAACUUGUAGUAGCAGAGCUCCUUAAAGCCAUAUUUUGAAAUUAGUACAUUAUUCCAUAUUAGUGUUUAUGUGGUUGUUGACUUGCCCAGAGGAAACUCUGUUGGAGAGGCAUGGGAACUCUAGAGGAACAAAUGCCAAAUGCUGAAUGUGUACUGAACACCAAUCGGCAUCAUUCUGCUCCUGGCCACUACAGGUUGCCCAACUGAAAGCACACGUUUAGUGUAUGAAGAUGUAAGAUUGUAAACAAUGUGUCAUAAUGUCCUUCAUAUAAGAACUAGAGAGAAGCUCUGAGUAUGGAAAACAUUUUUCUAACUCAAAAUGAAGACACACAUUGUGAAGGAUGUGAAUAUAUUUAAGGUAUAAUAUGACCAUACAUGAGAUUCAGAACUUUCCUCUACAAUUGAGGACACAGAAAUUGCUUUACUAUGGAAAUAGUCUGUCCAGGUGCAGUGGUUCAUGCCUGUAAUCUCAGCACUUUGGGAGGCUAAGGUGAGUGAAUCACCUGAGGUCAGGAGAUUGAGAACAUACUGGCCAACAUGGUGAAACCCCGUCUCUACUAAAAAUACAAAAAUUAGCUGGGCAUGGUGGCAUGUGCCUGUAAUCCCAGCUAUUCAGGAGGCUGAGGCAGGAGAAUUGCUUGAACCCAGGAGGCGGAGGUUGCAGUGAGCCGAGAUUGCGCCACUGCACUCCAGCCUGGUGCCUAGUGACAGAGCAAGACUCCGUCUCAAGAAAAAAAAAAAAUACAAAAAUUAGCUGGGCAUGGUGGCAGAUGCCUGUAAUCUCAGCUACUCGGGAGACUGGGGCAGAAGAACUGCUGGAACCCCGGGAGGCAGAGGUUGCAGUGAGCCGAGAUCACACCAUUGCACUCCAGCCCAGGUGACAAAAGUGAGACUCCAUCUCAAAAAAAAAAAAAAAAAAAAAGAAAAGAAAAGAAAGAAAGUAAAAAAUAGUUUUUUGUUACAAUGGAAUCUUGCCUGAAGAAUUCAGAAAAAAAAAUGCUGUUAAGAAUGAAAAUCAGAGGAUGUGAAUCCUCUUAACUGUUUCAUUCCCAGGAACCAGCAGUUCUUUACACUGAGGAAACUCGCUUGUUACUAUUGAUCCCAGGGUGUAGAAUUUAGGAGGAGGUGAUUAAGAGGGGACUCCACACUAGAAUAAAAAAAUUGAGGUAUUUACUUUGAGAGCAAAAUUGAAAGGGCAUCAAAAUUUCAGAAAUUAAGCUAUAGAAUAUUUUGAUCUAAUAUUUUCAAAAAUAAAAGUUAACAAAAAAAUUGAUGUUAAAAAAAAUCAGUGUUUUGGAUGAAGACAAGAUCUGACUCUGCACCUGCAUGAAUUCAUCUCAUUCGUGUCACCAAAAUUCUGGCCUUGCCAUACCUUGUUUUUACUGUUUUUAUGUGUAAUUUUGAUAUUCUGUUGAUCAUGAAUUCUUUUGCAUAUUUUUUCUUUGAAACAGAGUCUUACUCUGUCUCCAAGGCUAUAUAGUACAGUGGUGCAAUCUUGGCUCACUGCAACCUCCACCUCACCAGGUACGAGCGAUUCUCCUGCCUUAGCCUUCUGAGUAGCUGGGAUUACAGGCACACACCACCAUGCCUGGCUAAUUUUUGUAUUUUCGUAGAAAUGAGGUUUCCCCAUGUUGGCUAGGCUGGUCUCGAACUCAGGACCUCAGGUGAUCCGCCUGCCUUGACCUCCCAAAGUACUGGAAUUAUAAGCAUGGGCCACUGUGCCCAGCCACGUUAUUUUUUUAAUAUUGCAUUGAAAUAUUAUUUAUCUUGAUUACCGAGGUUUUUGGUGUCCCUUUCAACUUUGCACUGUGGUAAAUGUCUUACACUACUCACCUUAGUCCUGGUCUUAACUAGCAUGCUGCCUGACACGUAAGUAAAGGAAGUUGUUAAAAGAAUUAUUGUGUGGUGAAUAAAUUAAUGAAUCACUGUAAGAGUAUCUUGUUUCUUUUUAUAAUGGCCUCUCUACAAAUUUCUCAUUGGAAGGGAUAGAAAUACAUGAUAUGUUCCAGACUUCUUAUGUUGACAGGUCCAUCUUUCUCUGUGUUUUAAAAUAAUAUAAUAUAUGUUAUGAAAUUUAAUUUUUUAUUGCUUAAAUUAUCCCA